rnacentral:rRNA from 1 species
UACGUAGGGCGCAAGCGUUGUCCGGAAUUAUUGGGCGUAAAGAGCUCGUAGGCGGUUUGUCGCGUCUGCUGUGAAAACCUCAGGCUCAACCUGGGGCUUGCAGUGGGUACGGGCAGACUAGAGUGCGGUAGGGGGUGACUGGAAUUCCUGGUGUAGCGGUGGAAUGCGCAGAUAUCAGGAGGAACACCGAUGGCGAAGGCAGGUCACUGGGCCGCAACUGACGCUGAGGAGCGAAAGCGUGGGUAGCAAACAGG